rnacentral:rRNA from 1 species
AGCGAACGCUGGCGGCAGGCCUAACACAUGCAAGUCGAACGAACCUUUCGGGGUUAGUGGCGGACGGGUGAGUAACACGUGGGAACGUGCCUUUAGGUUCGGAAUAACUCAGGGAAACUUGUGCUAAUACCGAAUGUGCCCUUCGGGGGAAAGAUUAAUCGCCUUUAGAGCGGCCCGCGUCUGAUUAGCUAGUUGGUUGAGGUAAUGGCUCACCAAGGCGACGAUCAGUAGCUGGUCUGAGAGGAUGAUCAGCCACAUUGGGACUGAGACACGGCCCAAACUCCCACGGGAGGCAGCAGUGGGGAAUCUUGGGCAAUGGGGGAAAGCCUGACGCAGCCAUGCCGCGUGAAUGAUGAAGGUCUUAGGAUUGUAAAAUUCUUUCACCGGGGACGAUAAUGACGGUACCCGGAGAAGAAGCCCCGGCUAACUUCGUG